rnacentral:rRNA from 1 species
GUUUAUCCCGCGGGAGGUUGCUGCUAUCGGGAUUCGAUUAAGCCAUGCAAGUCAGAUCGCAAGAUCGGCGACAUGCUCAGUAACACGUCAUCAACCUGCCCUUAGGUCAGGAAUACCCUUGGGAAACUGAGGUUAAUGCCUGAUAGGAGAAGAAUUCUGGAAUGAAUUUUCUUCUAAAAGCAAUGCCUAAGGAUGGGAUGGCGGUUGAUUAGGUAGUUGGUGAGGUAAAGGCUCACCAAGCCCAAGAUCAAUAGGGGCCUUGAAAGAGGUAUCCUCGAGAAGGACACUGAGAUACUGGUCCUAGCCCUACGGGGUGCAGCAGGCGCGAAAACUUUACACUACACGAAAGUGUGAUAAGGGAAUCCCGAGUGCUUAUGCAAUGCAUAGGCUUUUGCCAAGAGCAAAUAUCUUGGAGAAUAAGUGGUGGGCAAGACUGGUGCCAGCCGCCGCGGUAACACCAGCUCCGCUAGUGGUGACCGAUUUUAUUGGGCCUAAAGCGUCCGUAGCUGGUUAUGUAAAUCUUUUGUGAAAUCGUUGCGCUUAACGCAACGGCUUGCAGGGGACACUGCAUAACUUGGAACAGGGAGAAGUCAAAAGUAUUCUUGGGGGAGCGGUAAAAUGCUAUAAUCCCAAGAGGACUACCUAUGGCGAAGGCAUUUGACUAGAACUGAUUCGACAGUCAGGGACGAAAGCCAGGGGAGCAAACCGGAUUAGAUACCCGAGUAGUCCUGGCCGUAAACGCUGCGAGUAAGGUGUUGCAUAUUCCUCGUGAAUGUGCAGUAUCGAAACGAAGGUGAUAAACUCGCCGCCUGGGAAGUAUGGUCGCAAGGCUGAAACUUAAAGGAAUUGGCGGGGGAGCACUACAAGGGGUGCGGCGUGCGGUUUAAUCCAAUUCAACACGGAGAAUCUUACCAGGAACGACGGCAGGAUGAAGGUCAGUCUAAAGGGCUUACCUGACGAGCCGAGAGGUAGUGCAUGGCCGCCGUCAGCUCGUGGCGUAAGCUGUCCUGUUAAGUCAGGCAACGAGCGAGACCUGUGCCUACAAUUGCUAACGACUCAUUCUGAGGAUUGAGAACAUUGUAGGGACUGCCUUCGAAAGGGGGAGGAAGGUGCAGGCAACGGUAGGUCUGUAUGCUCCGAAUUUUCUGGGCUACACGCGCGCAACAAUGGUAUGGAUAAUGGGCUGCAACUCCGAAAGGAGAAGCUAAUCCUCGAAACCAUACUUUAGUCCAGAUUGAGGGUUGUAACUCACCCUCAUGACGAUGGAAUCCCUAGUAAUCAGGUUUUAUCAUAGCCUGGUGAAUAUGUCCCUGCUCCUUGCACACACCGCCCGUCAAACCACCCGAGCAGGGUUUAGAUGAGGCUUGAUUUAUAAUUAAGUCGAAUCUAAGCUCAGCGAGGAGGGUUAAGUCGUCACAAGGUA